CAAAUGAAUUGACGGGGGCCCGCACAAGCGGUGGAGCAUGUGGUUUAAUUCGACGCAACGCGAAGAACCUUACCUGGCCUUGACAUGCAGAGAACUUUCCAGAGAUGGAUUGGUGCCUUCGGGAACUCUGACACAGGUGCUGCAUGGCCGUCGUCAGCUCGUGUCGUGAGAUGUUGGGUUAAGUCCCGUAACGAGCGCAACCCCUAUCCCUAGUUGCUAGCAGUUCGGCUGAGAACCCUAGGGAGACUGCCGGUGACAAACCGGAGGAAGGUGGGGAUGACGUCAGGUCAUCAUGGCCCUUACGGCCAGGGCUACACACGUGCUACAAUGGUGCGUACAGAGGGCUGCAAACCCGCGAGGGGGAGCUAAUCUCACAAAACGCAUCGUAGUCCGGAUCGGAGUCUGCAACUCGACUCCGUGAAGUCGGAAUCGCUAGUAAUCGCGAAUCAGAAUGUCGCGGUGAAUACGUUCCCGGGCCUUGUACACACCGCCCGUCACACCAUGGGAGUGGAUUGCACCAGAAGUGGUUAGUCUAACCUUCGGGAGGACGAUCACCACGGUGUGGUUCAUGACUGGGGUGAAGUCGUAACAAGGUA
rnacentral:rRNA from 1 species